rnacentral:rRNA from 1 species
GACGAACGCUGGCGGCGUGCUUAACACAUGCAAGUCGAACGGAAAGGCCCUGCUUUUGUGGGGUGCUCGAGUGGCGAACGGGUGAGUAACACGUGAGUAACCUGCCCUUGACUUUGGGAUAACUUCAGGAAACUGGGGCUAAUACCGGAUAGGAGCUCCUGCUGCAUGGUGGGGGUUGGAAAGUUUCGGCGGUUGGGGAUGGACUCGCGGCUUAUCAGCUUGUUGGUGGGGUAGUGGCAUACCAAGGCUUUGACGGGUAGCCGGCCUGAGAGGGUGACCGGCUACAUUGGGACUGAGAUACGGCCCAGACCACUACGGUAGGCAGCAGUGGGGAAUAUUGCACAAUGGGCGGAAGCAUGAUGCAGCAACGCCGCGUGCGGGAUGACGGCCUUCGGGUUGGAAACCGCUUUCGCCUGUGACGAAGCGUGAGUGACGGUAAUGGGUAAAGAAGCACCGGCUAACUACGUG